UUACUGGGUAUAAAAUGAUGACCAAUCAAAAGGAGAAACAAUCAUCGCCAAACGAGGGUAAAUGAAAGAUGACUCGCUAGGGAUAAAUUGCCUGACAAAAGCAAUUAUACAAGAGAUAUAUCACCGGUUACUGGGUGGUAUACUCAAAAACGAAGGAAUAUCAAUAUGGAUUACUGGGUAAAGAUAACCAACAAAGAGGGGAUUAC
rnacentral:lncRNA from 1 species